UUACAAGUUUUGCCAUUAAUUCAGCCACCCUGAUCACACACUACAAGCUAAAACACUGCCAUCAACUGUCCUUAUAGCUUUUAAAUGCUUUGAAUCUUUUCUAUUUGCAAGUAAUAAAUUCUCACCUGUGCACUUACAAAUCCCCAUCUAAUCAUUAUAUAUUUAUAUAUAAUUAUAUUUAAUUAUAUCAUUAUUUUCAAAGCAAAACCCAUCAAUUUGCUUGGGUCUUGGGUUAUUUAUCUAUAUUUGGGUAAUUGAUAAAGUUAUGUUUAAUUCCUUGUAAAGUAGGAAUAAAAAUGUUUAUAAAAAUGUUCUCUAUUUUGAAAGGCCAGUGUCAGUGAAGAUGGUGUGGUCACUGGAAUCCUGGUGUUUGUGGGAAAUGUGAAGGAGCUUCUCCCAGGAUUCUACAACAGUGUUGUCCUGAUGACUGAGGUAUUUAUUUUUUUUACUUUCUUGCCUCUUUGGAACAUGUCCAUUUACACAUACUGUGUAGAGGUGGUGCGCAGCUUCAUGGACAUUUAAGGUUUUUUGCAGAUGAAGAGCUUCUGGAACAUUGACAUAAACAGCACUUUUUCAUACAACUUAAAAAAGGUGGUGACAGACAAUUUUGGUUUUCUUGUUUUUGUGCCUUUGGAAUUCAUUGUUUUGUUGUUGUUGUUUUUUCUUUUCAAAAUUACAUUCACUGUAAUGCUGGAGUAAGAUUUUAGAAAACUUUUGGUCCUGUUUAAUGUUUGUGCUAGUAAAGGUUGCAGAGCUUAUAAGUAACAAGGUUUACAAAAGGUAACACUUUACAAAAGGUCUCGCUUGUUAACAUCAAUUAAUAUAUUAGACAACAUUAUCUAACUAUGUGCAUUAACUUUUGUACAGUAUUUAUCAAUAUUUGUUAACAUUAGGCAAUAAAA